UACGAAGGUCCCAAGCGUUAUCCGGAUUUAUUGGGUUUAAAGGGCGCGUAGGCGGGCUAUUAAGUCAGUGGUGAAAGCCCCAAGCUUAACUUGGGAACUGCCAUUGAUACUGAUGGUCUUGAGUACAUUUGAGGUGGGCGGAAUGUGUCAUGUAGCGGUGAAAUGCUUAGAUAUGACACAGAACACCGAUUGCGAAGGCAGCUCACUAAACUGUAACUGACGCUGAGGCACGAAAGCGUGGGGAGCAAACAGG
rnacentral:rRNA from 1 species